AUGGACCAAUCCAUCCCUUUUUCCCGUGCAUAUGCAUCGGACUCGGAUGACGAUGGUCCUGAUGAAGAAGUUGAUGAGGAGGGGUUCACACCAAAGGAGGCCGAAGCAUUCAAGAAGGUAUUCGGGCGGGAUCACAAGACACCAUUGUUCAAGGAUCUUAGUCUCGCGGAUGAAGCCGUUGUGGAUGGUGGAAAAUGCAUAUCUCUUGGAGCUAGGCCAAGUUCUCAC
rnacentral:rRNA from 1 species